rnacentral:rRNA from 1 species
AGCGAACGCUGGCGGCAGGCUUAACACAUGCAAGUCGAACGCAUCCUUCGGGUUGAGUGGCAGACGGGUGAGUAACACGUGGGAACAUACCUUUUGGUUCGGAAUAACUCAUGGAAACGUGAGCUAAUACCGGAUACGCCCUUUUGGGGAAAGAUUUAUUGCCGAAAGAUUGGCCCGCGUCUGAUUAGCUAGUUGGUAAGGUAAUGGCUCACCAAGGCGACGAUCAGUAGCUGGUCUGAGAGGAUGAUCAGCCACACUGGGACUGAGACACGGCCCAGACUCCUGCGGGAGGCAGCGGUGGGGAAUAUUGGACAAUGGGCGCAAGCCUGAUCCAGCCAUGCCGCGUGAGUGAUGAAGGCCUUAGGGUUGUAAAGCUCUUUUAUCCGGGAAGAUAAUGACUGUACCGGAAGAAUAAGCCCCGGCUAACUUCGUGCCAGCAGCCGCCGUAA